rnacentral:misc_RNA from 1 species
GAUGAAGAACGCAGCGAAAUGCGAUAAGUAAUGUGAAUUGCAGAAUUCAGUGAAUCAUCGAAUCUUUGAACGCACAUUGCGCCCCCCAGUAUUCUGGCGGGCAUGCCUGUUCGAGCGUCAUUUCAACCAUCAAGCCCUGCUUGUGUUGGGGUCCUGCGGCUGCCCGCAGGCCCUGAAAACCAGUGGCGGGCUCGCUAGUCACACCGAGCGCAGUAGCACAUCUCGCUCAGGGCGUGCGGCGGGCUCCAGCCGUUAAAGCACCCACCUUUCGCAAGGUUGACCUCGGAUCAGGUAGGAAUACCCGCUGAACUUAAGCAUAUCAAUAAGCGGAGGA